UGCUCGAGGAGAGGUACCCGGGG
rnacentral:piRNA from 1 species